AAUAAACUAUGGUUUUUCGUAUCCAACGUUUAACCGUCCGUCUUAUUUAAAAAUUAUGAAAAAAAUUAAAAAGACAAGUCACAUAUAAAGUAUUAAUCAUGUUUUAUUAUCUAACAACAAUAAAAAUACUAAUUAUAAAAAAAAUUAUAUAAGACGGACAGUCAAACGUUAUACACGGAAACCUAGUGUUUGUUUUUUU
rfam:Oryza sativa Japonica Group DNA, chromosome 2, cultivar: Nipponbare, complete sequence.